rnacentral:rRNA from 1 species
AAGUCGUAACAAGGUUUCCGUAGGUGAACCUGCGGAAGGAUCAUUACCGAGUGUAGGGUGUCGCCUCGGCGCGCCCGACCUCCCAACCCUUUGUCUACCUUACCACAACGUUGCUUCGGCAGGCCCGCCGACCCCUGGAGAUCCGUCUCCGGGGCGAGGCCGCCGGGGGCGCACGCCCCGGGCCCGCGCCUGUCGAUGGCCCUUCUCAAACUCAUGUUUAAUCGUGUCGUCUGAGUUAUCAUUAAAAUACAAACCAAAACUUUCAACAACGGAUCUCUUGGUUCUGGCAUCGAUGAAGAACGCAGCGAAAUGCGAUAAGUAAUGCGAAUUGCAGAAUCCGUGAGUCAUCGAAUCUUUGAACGCACAUUGCGCCCUUUGGUAUUCCGAAGGGCAUGCCUGUUCGAGCGUCAUUAUCACCCCUCAAGCCCGGCUUGCUGUUGGUGGCGGCGGGGCCUUUACCGGCCCCGCCCCGCCCAAAGAUAAUGACGGCGUCUGCGAGGACCCCUGUACACUGAGCUCUCGGGCACGUACACGGUUGGCACUCCGGGCGCCGGUCGCCGUUGUCUCCGACAACACUUUUCUAAGGUUGACCUCGGAUCAGGUAGGGAUACCCGCUGAACUUAA